AUAACUACGUUAUGUAGUGACUGGCUGAUUGUUAGGCAGGCUUUCAUUUUGAAAAGUAGCAAAGCGUUGGUUUCCUUCUUCAAAAUUGUCUGUCCUAUGAAAGACAUGGCAGGCAGGCAGGCAGAAGACGUUUCAACCCCAAUUGUUGAUUAUUAACAGAGAUAAAGGAAUACUACCAAGUUGCAAGAACGACACCUGUUCCUCUUCAUCAACCUUCGUCUUUUCUGUCUUAAAUUCAUUUGUAAGGGAUAGAGAAAGGAAGCUAGCUACGUGCGGUGGGACUUGGUCGGUGGCUGACACCUAAUAGCUUUAAUUCCCAUGAAAGAAAUUCAGAGGAUUCACAUCGGAUCUGGUUUGUAAUGAAUACAGAUACAAUAGAAAUGGAAUUUCACUGCUAGCUGUGCCUCCUCUUCAUAAAAUUAGGGUUUCAUUUUUGUAAGAAAUUUGGGGAUUUUUUUUUUGUCAAAUGGGCAUUUGCUUCAGCAACCAGAUCAAGGCUGAGAGCCCUUUUCCCAGCGCAAUUGGAGAUGGGACGGAUCGCUUAUCAUGUAAUUCGAGCAGCAAGAAUUCUUGGAUGUCAAUACCUCAAACUCCUCGAAGCGAAGGCGAAAUACUGCAGUCCUCAAACCUUAAAAGCUUCACGGUCAGUGAGCUUCGGGCAGCCACCAGAAACUUCCGUCCCGACAGCGUUAUAGGGGAGGGCGGGUUCGGGUCGGUUUUCAAGGGCUGGGUUGACGAGCACUCCUUGACGGCGUCUAAACCCGGGACGGGUAUCGUCGUCGCCGUUAAGAGGCUGAAUCAAGACGGGCUUCAGGGACACAGGGAAUGGCUGGCGGAAAUCAAUUAUCUGGGACAGCUUCGCCAUCCCAAUCUCGUGAAAUUGAUGGGUUACUGUCUGGAAGAUGAUCACAGGCUUCUGGUUUAUGAGUUCAUGCCCAGGGGUAGCCUUGAGAAUCACUUAUUUAGAAGAGGUUCAUAUAUCCAGCCGCUUUCGUGGCGCCUGAGAACGAAAAUCGCCCUCGGCGCAGCCAAAGGGCUUGCAUUUCUCCACAGCGCCGAGGCGAAAGUAAUAUAUCGGGACUUCAAAACGUCGAAUAUUCUGCUCGAUUCGAGCUACAAUGCCAAGCUUUCGGAUUUUGGGCUGGCAAGAGACGGCCCGACCGGCGAUCAAAGCCAUGUGUCGACCAGAGUCAUGGGGACAUAUGGAUACGCUGCUCCCGAGUAUCUCUCCACCGGGCAUUUAACCACCAAGAGCGAUGUGUACAGCUUUGGCGUGGUUCUUGUAGAAAUAUUAUCCGGUAAGCGUGCAAUAGACAAGAACCGGCCAUCGGGCGAGCAAAACCUGGUCAAGUGGGCAAAGCCUUACCUGACGAGCAAACGAGGGAUUACCCAGGUGUUGGAUAGUCGCCUCAACGGUCAGUAUUCAAUGGAUCAAGCAUCGAAAGCGGCUAAACUUGCGCUCGAAUGCCUGCACGCCAAAGCCAGAUUGAGGCCGGACAUGGAUGAAGUCGUAGCAAUUCUGGAGCAGCUUCACCACCGUUCUUCCGACUGCACCCUGAAACCGGAUCAGAAGCACCACCAUUCAAAUUUAAACGGGCACAGUCGGGCAGUUGCGAGACCCAAUUCCCGCCGGUCGAAUCCCAGACCGUACGGCGGCUCGUCUCCUUGUGCAUGAGCCGGUCGGUAUGGUUGUGGUCUUGAGCCGUAAUUAAUUGAUAGGUGCAACGGAAAAAGGGGAAAACAAUACACACAAAUUCAUCAGAGCCAAGCCCAAGGGUAGUGAAAGAGAGUCUAGACCCUGAAAUUCUUGCCCAUGAAGGUCUGCCCGAACUGCCAAUUGGGAGGCGCCACGUUGACGGAGGUAGAAGUGCGA